UAGGGAAUCUUCGGCAAUGGACGGAAGCCUGACCGAGCAACGCCGCGUGAGUGAAGAAGGUUUUCGGAUCAUAAAGCUCUGUUGUAAGAGAAGAACGAGUGUGAGAGUGGAAAGUUCACACUGUGACGGUAUCUUACCAGAAAGGGACGGCUAACUACGUGCCAGCAGCCGCGGUAAUACGUAGGUCCCGAGCGUUGUCCGGAUUUAUUGGGCGUAAAGCGAGCGCAGGCGGUUAGAUAAGUCUGAAGUUAAAGGCUGUGGCUUAACCAUAGUAGGCUUUGGAAACUGUUUAACUUGAGUGCAAGAGGGGAGAGUGGAAUUCCAUGUGUAGCGGUGAAAUGCGUAGAUAUAUGGAGGAACACCGGUGGCGAAAGCGGCUCUCUGGCUUGUAACUGACGCUGAGGCUCGAAAGCGUGGGGAGCAAACAGGAUUAGAUACCCUGGUAGUCCACGCUGUAAACGAUGAGUGCUAGGUGUUAGACCCUUUCCGGGGUUUAGUGCCGUAGCUAACGCAUUAAGCACUCCGCCUGGGGAGUACGACCGCAAGGUUG
rnacentral:rRNA from 1 species